AACGAACGCUGGCGGCAGGCUUAACACAUGCAAGUCGAGCGCCCCGCAAGGGGAGCGGCAGACGGGUGAGUAACGCGUGGGAAUCUACCCAUCUCUACGGAAUAACGCAUGGAAACGUGUGCUAAUAUCGUAUACGUCCGUCGGGAGAAAGAUUUAUCGGAGAUGGAUGAGCCCGCGUUGGAUUAGCUAGUUGGUGGGGUAAAGGCCUACCAAGGCGACGAUCCAUAGCUGGUCUGAGAGGAUGAUCAGCCACACUGGGACUGAGACACGGCCCAGACUCCUACGGGAGGCAGCAGUGGGGAAUAUUGGACAAUGGGCGCAAGCCUGAUCCAGCCAUGCCGCGUGAGUGAUGAAGGCCCUAGGGUUGUAAAGCUCUUUCACCGGUGAAGAUAAUGACGGUAACCGGAGAGGAAGCCCCGGCUAACUUCGUGCCAGCCGCCGCGGUAAUAC
rnacentral:rRNA from 1 species